CUAUGCGCCUUGCCAGCCCGCUCAGGUGUGCCAGCCGCCGCGGUAAUACAGAGGUCUCAAGCGUUGUUCGGAAUCACUGGGCGUAAAGCGUGCGCAGGCGGUUUCGUAAGUCGUGUGUGAAAGGCGGGGCUCAACCCCCGGACUGCACAUGAUACUGCGAGACUAGAGUAAUGGAGGGGGAACCGGAAUUCUCGGUGUAGCAGUAAAAUGCGUAGAUAUCGAGAGGAACACUCGUGGCGAAGGCGGGUUCCUGGACAUUAACUGACGCUGAGGCACGAAGGCCAGGGGAGCGAAAGGG
rnacentral:rRNA from 1 species